AAGGGUACCUAGCAGAGCGACCUGCUCCUGAUACGAGCCUUUUGGGACUUCAGUGCAUAACUUGGAUUCCUCUCCUGAUCAAUCUGCCGGAGAGUGACAGGUGCAGUGGAGAGAAAGAAAAUUUCAUACUUGGAUGUCACUACAGAAAUAAACUGAACCCAGAUUAUAAGAGGAAAGUAAUUGAAAACAGUUUGGGAAGGGGGAAAGAGGGGAGGAGUACUUCUUGAACAGCCUCUCUUGCAUGAAGUAAGAUCUAGACUCCCAGGGCUCGGUUCUACUCUCAGUUUA